CUAAAUGAAGGCUGGGAAGAACAUUUCAUUCAUUUCUAAGUUUCUUUCAGGCCAGCAGGAAUCAGAAUUUAUAAUGACAGAGGUCCCCUUGGUGAAGGGUGAUGAGGCGAAGUUUCUGAUUAUGGCCACGGAGGCCGUAAGUAGCUGCCAUAAGUAAUUAUCCGAGGAGGGGCCUUCUUCCCGGCGCAGGAGGCUGACAUGGUGCGGGAGAGAAAACAUGAGGGGUCGAACGUGGUCUUUGGGGGCACAGGGGCUGAGGGUGGCCUCGGCCUUCGGCGUCGCAGGAUGGGGGGCCCUUUUGAGGAAGUGUCUCCGGGCCAGGAUUUUGCCCCUGAGAAGCGCUGAUGCUGCUCCUCUGGUGCUGUCUGCGCGGGGCCAAGGGGGACGCAGACACUCACACCCGUGUUUCCUCCCCAUGGUUCACAGACGAGGGUCUGACGGGCAGAAAACACGGGCCAGAUGCAGGAGCUUGUCUUGCAGCAACACGCCGGGGUGUAGACGGUGCCUGGGGCAGCACGCCCGGUGCGGAGGGUGAGGAAAGGGGCGCAGCUUGCUAGAUUCAUUUCCUUUUUUCUCGUUCUUGGGAAGCCGACUUUCAUUUCCCCAAAGCGCACGCAGAGCUGGCAUGGAGUGCCCAGCCUGGCAGCCCCCGCAGGAGCCGGGGACAGACCCUGAGAUCCGGAGCCCAGUGCUCAGGAGCACGAGCGUCGGGAGGAAGUGAAUCUCCACUUGCUGAUGACCCGUCUCCACCAUUUCUCAACCAUGGGCAUCGGCAGGAGGAGGCUUACUCAGCCGUCCAGCGGGGCGGAGGCAGCGGAAGAGGCCAGAGGCACGGACUGCAGCCAGUGUCCCCCCUUCCGCUCCGCCUUGCACGCAGCCCCCCCCCCCCCCGCAGCACCCCCCCAGGAGCAAUUGGCAAAGUCAUCGCCAAGAUGGCGAGUUCAGGUGACCGUCACGCCCGAGUAAUGAAGAGCCAGGUGGACAGGAUCCCGCUGACCGGAGCGCCAUUCGUCAUGUGCAGAGACCGGAGCCGGGAAGGGACAGGCCUCCUGUGACUGCGCCAUGGGAGUGACUCACCCCAGAACCAGCAAGACAUCCAUUAUCGAUGACAUCAGCCAAACUGCAGAUAAAUUGGUGCUUUAUCCUGACCCAGUGGCAGUGAUGAAUGACUGUUAUUAAAUCGAUAGAUCAAUCCAAAGCCAAUAAGUCAAGAUAUCCAGAGGCGAAUCAGAGCAAGACGCUGCCCCUGGAGCCCAGAGGUCAGCUGGCCCGGAAGCGGGAGCUAGGGGCGCAGCGAGCCAGCCUAGCAUGGGCAGACCGCUAAACCCCAGGCCUGCCUCCCUCUGCCCAUGUCUUCCCUUCCACGGAGACAGAAGCGGCCCAUCUGCAGUUCCACACGUGGUAUCCACGAGGCAGAGGAGGGUACAGACGCCGCAGGACCCACGAGACCACUCCCCAGUGUUCAAGCCCUUGGGCCACAGAGCGCGCACCUGCUCCUACCCUCUCGUCCAGGCCUCGUGCAGGCUGUGCCCGCUCUGUGGUGGCAGUGUCACCAUUCUACACGCACGCAUAUGUCCGACCAACACUUCCCCCAUCUGCACACACACGGACAGAACAAACGUGUGCAAAGGACACCUUCCCUACCGCCAUGUAUUUAAACAACAUAAGAACUUCUUAAAGGACCCAGAGCCGGAACCCAAAAUGCUUAGCUUCAAGUCAAGUCCAGCAAGCAGGAGUCACUGAGCAGAAGAAUGCAGAUUCGUUUUGUAGCUGUUCACACAUGUGAGGCGUCCCUGCACCCGCCGGGGGGGGCUGGCGUCCUGCAGGGACUGACUCAGACACUCAGAGGCGGUGUGAGUGUGGGAGGAAUGUGGGUGGGUGUCCAGCAGGGAGACGCCCGGCCCAAGAACACGCUGCAGGGAACCGCUGGGCGCAGGGCUGAGGCCCAGCCCUGCACAUGCGUGGACCUGCGGGGACACGGAGCAGCCGGGUGGCCCUCCAGGUGGAAGGGACCCUUGGGUGGGGCCGGGGGGCGGGGGGAGGAAGGAGCUGUGAAGAUCAUAAUUCAGAGUUGUAUGUUUCUUUUCAACGAGAUGAGAGACACCGAGGCUUCCGAGGACAAUGGUCCGUUGGCCUGCAGGUCUGUGGGUGCAGGAUGGGGAGGGCAAGGGGCGCAUCUAGAAGUUUGGACCACCCACCUUGUGGAUGGAGAUGGAAGGAGGGGAGAGAUGUCACAGGUAACCGGAAUAUGAUCACUGAGAAAGAGGAGCAAUUGUAACAUGAGGGAAAUAAGGCGGAUCUUGACGUUAGUGAUGUUUGGCUUCAAAUACUAGUGGAAUUUCUUGCCCGGCCGGCACGGCUCAGUGGUUGAGCAUCGACCUAUGAACCAGGAGGUCAUGGUUUGAUUCCCAGUCAGGGCACAUGCCCAGGUUGCAGGCUUGGUCCCCAGUAGGGGGGCGU